UAAAACUUAAGUGAGCUAGACCCCAAGUUUUCCAAACACUUGGUUAAAAAAACAAAAGCAUUCUUUCCCUCUCCUAACUUAGAGUAACUACAGCUCCCCAUUAUGGUUCUUCUCUUGCAAUCAGCUAGCCAUCUAUGUGACAUUCUUUCUCUUUCCCAAUUAUGGUUCUUCUCCCCCGAUCUAUGCAAAAAAAACCUCUCCCCUAUCUAGGUUUUUGAUACAGAAGAGUCUCCUCAACCUCUCCCCUAGCUAGGUUAACAUGACACUGUUGGUGCAGUUCUUCGAUUCAAGAACGAGUCCAAAGUCUUGAUUCACUGUUGUUGCACGUAAUAUCGACCUGCCAUGGACCUUGGCUGCUUGGACUUGGGUUGCAUAGUGGUCUCAAACAAGCAAGGCGCUACUCAGCCCAGUCUUGACUCUCACCACAAACAAAACGAGUCGUUUAUGGUGAGCUCCAAGAUCGGAAAGAUUAAGUUGACUUUUCAUUCUUGAACCUUCUUUGAUGGCUUUGGCUCACAAGUACAAUCAGGAGAAGAUGAUUUGCAGAAAUGUGCAAAUCAUGUCGUAUAGCAAAGCUGAGCUCACUUAUUAUACAGAAUCCCCAGAUUCACGAAAUUAGGUAUUUCAGGUAGUAGGCAGAUGUAUAAUGUACUUUAUACAGUUUGGUAAUAGUAACCAGAUCAACGACAAUAACUUCACAACAGCUAGGUGCCAUUCUAGAGCAACUUGUUGUGGGUUUCUACUAUCCGUAUCUCUCUAUUGAAAGAGUCAUGUUGCUUUGAAGUGAUGAAGACUAGGCUCAAAUAUUGGCUAGAACUGUUAAGACUUUUGUUAUAGAACUCUUUAGUUAAGAAAGAGCAAUGUGGUUAUGGUGAAAUGACUACUCUUUACCUUGCAGAUUUUUGUCUUAGCGGCUUAGGUAUAUGAUUGAUAUAAGAUGGUGUUUUUUGGUUCUCUCAAUCAUAAUGUCAAUGUUAGGUUUAGAAUUGUGGAACUGAUGGAUUAUAUUUUGGAUGAUAUAUGCAAUGAAAUAAUUCGCUUCAUUUUGUUGGUUGAUUUUA